ensembl:lncRNA
UGAGAACUGCCUUCUUUUUGUUUGGUUCCUUUAAAAAAAUAUUUUUUUACUUAUUUAUUUGCUGUUCUGGGUCUUCAUUGCUGUGCUCGGACUUUCUCUCUCAUGGCUAUUUCCAGACAUUUCCUGUUAAGAAGAGUACUAUAAAUAUUCUUGUACAUAAAUUCCCAUUGUCCCUAUAUACCAAUUUGGAUAUAAACCUGGGAGUGGAAAGCCUUGUCAUAGGAUACAGAACAAACUGGCUUAUUCUAAAGCAAAAGCCCCAAGCAGAGUGAAAAUAAAGUUUCCAGCUGUACACACUGGAGUGACUUACCCUUCUGCGUGGAGCACACUGGUUCCCAAAUGUUGAUUCUCUGAUCCAGCUGCCAAAAACCAUACUUAACUGACUCCAACUCUGAAGGCGGUGUAACAUGCUGGUUCAUUAUAAGGAUCAGUUAUCAAGCUUCUAUUUUGAGUUCCAAAAGCUAAAUCCCAAAAUUGACUUCAAGCUACAGAAUGAAAGGUUGAGAAAAGUUCAACUUGGAGACAACAGACCAUCUUACUACUGUUCAUGAGAGAUUCCUGCACAAGUUGAUCAGGAAGGUAUCAAUUCUCCAUGGGCCUGGAAUCAGGGCAAGCAGCCUUGGAAAUUUCAGCUGACUCUCACCAGGAAGGACACAAGCACAGCAUUUGGAUUUUCUACAGAGGAGGAAUUUUAGCUGCAGAAGUUGCCAAUAAGCAAGACAUUUCCCAGGGAGAGUUUUACAUGCGCCUUGUAAACACCAGGACUUGUUGAUGGGAUUCUCUCGGCGAUAUGACAAGUGUGUCUGGAAGCCCUACCGUUUAGCAUGACACCAAGACACAACACAUGCCCGGUUCUGUCAAACCUCCGAGUCGUGCUUGUGGAAUCAACGGAAUCACCGGGAUGAUAAUCGACUCUGCUCUGUGAUUCCCCUGUUGGCACAUUUAUUUUAGCUUUGCUGGCAGAGAGGGAGGCUUGCUCUACUAAUUCACUGUGACGUUGUUUUUUAAUUAGGUGUCUUGACACAGCAGGCAUUCCAGUCUUGAACAUUUCUUUUGUUUCUUUAAUGUGCCAGCAAGCUGUCUGACUUUUAGCUGCCUGAUCUUUCAGAAAGGUUACCUGCAGUGUAAAAUGAGAUACCAGACGUAAGGCACCUUGUCCAGUGUUUGGCACCUGAGGGGUCUCUGAGAAUGUUCAUUAUGUCUCCCUGUUCAUCUUUGCCUUCCGUCCUUCUGCUGCUUUUAGUUAACCUUGGAGAUGAAACGUUAACUGGGUAAGGCUUACAAUUUUCUUCAUCCCAGAAGAGAGUCCAGUAAAUCUACAAACUGAGACUGCAUAGAUUCUGUAAAUAAAAUGGCC